rnacentral:rRNA from 1 species
UACGUAGGGCGCAAGCGUUGUCCGGAAUUAUUGGGCGUAAAGAGCUCGUAGGCGGCUUGUCGCGUCGGGUGUGAAAACUCGGGGCUUAACCCCGAGCCUGCAGUGGAUACGGGCAGACUAGAGGUAGGUAGGGGAGAAUGGAAUUCCCGGUGUAGCGGUGAAAUGCGCAGAUAUCGGGAGGAACACCGGUGGCGAAGGCGGUUCUCUGGGCCUUACCUGACGCUGAGGAGCGAAAGCGUGGGGAGCGAACAGG